rnacentral:rRNA from 1 species
AGUUUGAUCCUGGCUCAGGACGAACGCUGGCGGCAUGCCUAACACAUGCAAGUCGAACGAGAAAGUUCCUUCGGGAGCAAUUAAAGUGGCGCACGGGUGAGUAACGCGUAGACAAUCUGCCCUUCAGUCUGGGACAACUUUUCGAAAGGAGAGCUAAUACCGGAUAACAAUGUUUAACAUAAGUUAGAUAUUUGAAAGCUUUAUGUGCUGAGGGAGUGGUCUGCGUCCCAUUAGCUAGUUGGUGAGGUAAAGGCUUACCAAGGCAACGAUGGGUAGCGGGUUUGAGAGGACGAUCCGCCACACUGGAACUGAGACACGGUCCAGACUCCUACGGGAGGCAGCAGUGGGGAAUAUUGCACAAUGGAGGCAACUCUGAUGCAGCAAUGUCGCGUGAGUGAAGAAGGCCCUUGGGUCGUAAAGCUCUUUUAUGGGGGAAGAUGAUGACGGUACCCCAAGAAUAAGCACCGGCUAACUAUGUGCCAGCAGCCGCGGUAAUACAUAGGGUGCGAGCGUUGUUCGGAAUUACUGGGCGUAAAGGGCGCGCAGGCGGAAUAGUAAGUCGGAGGUGAAAGCCCGGGGCUCAACCCCGGAGGGUCUUUCGAAACUGCUAGUCUAGAGAGGGUCAGGGGCCGGCAGAAUUCCUGGUGUAGAGGUGAAAUUCGUAGAUAUCAGGAGGAAUACCGGUGGCGAAGGCGGCCGGCUGGGGCCACUCUGACGCUGAGGCGCGAAAGCGUGGGGAGCAAACAGGAUUAGAUACCCUGGUAGUCCACGCCGUAAACGAUGAGCACUGGACGUCCGGAGGGUUCGACCCUUCUGGGUGUCUCAGCUAACGCAUUAAGUGCUCCGCCUGGGGAGUACGGUCGCAAGACUAAAACUCAAAGGAAUUGACGGGGGCCCGCACAAGCGGUGGAUUAUGUGGUUUAAUUCGAUGCAACGCGAAGAACCUUACCUGGACUUGACAUGUUAGUGACCCUCCGGUGAAAGCCGGAGUCUCCGCGAGCUUGCUCAAGGACACUAUCACAGGUGAUGCAUGGCUGUCGUCAGCUCGUGUCGUGAGAUGUUCGGUUAAGUCCGAUAACGAGCGCAACCCCUAUCCUUAGUUGCCAGCACGUAAUGGUGGGGACUCUAAGGAAACUGCCCGGGAUAACCGGAAGGAAGGUGGGGUCGACGUCAAGUCAGUAUGUCCCUUACGUUCAGGGCUACACACGUAAUACAAUGGGAAGUACAGAGGGUAGCAAAACUGCGAAGUGGAGCCAAUCCCAAAAAACUUCCCCAAGUUCGGAUUGCAGUCUGCAACUCGACUGCAUGAAGCAGGAAUCGCUAGUAAUCGCGCAUCAGCAUGGCGCGGUGAAUACGUUCCCGGGUCUUGUACACACCGCCCGUCACGCCAUGGAAGCCGGUAGCACCCAAUGUCGGUGUCCUAACCUUCGGGAAGGAGCCGCUUAAGGUGAGAUUGGUAACUGGGGCGAAGUCGUAACAAGGUAGCC